UACGGGGGGGGCAAGCGUUGUUCGGAAUUACUGGGCGUAAAGGGCUCGUAGGCGGCCAACUAAGUCGGACGUGAAAUCCCUCGGCUCAACCGGGGAACUGCGUCCGAUACUGGAUGGCUUGAAUCCGGGAGAGGGAUGCGGAAUUCCAGGUGUAGCGGUGAAAUGCGUAGAUAUCUGGAGGAACACCGGUGGCGAAGGCGGCAUUCUGGACCGACAUUGACGCUGAGGAGCGAAAGCCAGGGGAGCAAACGGG
rnacentral:rRNA from 1 species